rnacentral:tRNA from 1 species
UACAUACUCGCUCAGUGGUAGAGCACUUUCCUUGGAAGAAAGCCUUCGUAGGUUCAAAUCCUACGUAUGUGA